rnacentral:rRNA from 1 species
AAUCAACGCUGGCGGCAUGCCUAACACAUGCAAGUCGAACGAGAAAGUGGAGCAAUCCAUGAGUAAAGUGGCGACCGGGUGAGUAACACGUGACUAACCUGCCCUAGAGUGGGGGAUAACCUCGGGAAACCGGGGCUAAUACCGCAUAACAUCGCGAGGGGAAGAUCCUUGCGAUCAAAGGAGUAAUUCGCUCAAGGAGGGGGUCGCGGCUGAUUAGCUAGCUGGUGAGGUAACGGCUCACCAAGGCGAAGAUCAGUAGCCGGCCUGAGAGGGCGCACGGCCACACUGGAACUGAAACACGGUCCAGACUCCUACGGGAGGCAGCAGUGGGGAAUUUUGCGCAAUGGGGGAAACCCUGACGCAGCAACGCCGCGUGGAGGAUGAAGUCCCUUGGGAUGUAAACUCCUUUCGAUCGGGACGAUAAUGACGGUACCGGAAGAAGAAGCACCGGCUAACUCUGUGCCAGCAGCCGCAGUAACAC